rnacentral:lncRNA from 10 species
UUGUGCUGAUUCCUGAGGACUAGGAAGGUGCCCCGAAAAGAAUUCAGAGACCUGACAAUGUCCCUGUAUUGUGGAAUAGCUUGCAGGAGAAAAUUUUUUUGGUGCUAUAGGCUGCUGUCAACCUAUGUUACUAAGACACGAUUUCUACAUGGUUGUCAAUCAUGCCUAUGUAAUGAAGCCACCAUAAAAACCCAAAAGGACAGGGUUCAGAGAGCCUCUGGAUAGCUGAACACAUGGAAGUUCCUGGAGGGUGGUGCACCCAGGGAGUCAUGGAAGCUCUGCACCCUCCCCCCACAUACCUGACCUAAAUGCAUCUCUUCAUUUGUAUCCUUCGUAAUAUCCUAUAUAAUAAACCAGUAAACAUC